rnacentral:lncRNA from 1 species
UUACCAAUAAAAGCUAUCUCACUUUAGUUGGACAAUCAAUACGCCAAUUGGAUAUAUUAUCCUUCACAAUAGUUCUAUAUUUUAAGAUUUAAAAAUUUAAUCUCAAACAUAAUUCAUUUCAUUAAAAAUUAUCUAUGCAUUAUUACUACGAUGAAAUCAAUAAUCAACUUUUUUUAUGGAUGUUAUAUUCUCCGAGAUU